GCCUGGCUGGCUCAGUCAUGGAGCGUGUGACUCUUAAUCUUGGGGUUGUGGGUUUGAGCCCCACGUUGGGUG
rnacentral:tRNA from 1 species